UCAGUAACACGUGGAUACCUGCCCUAAGGAAGGGGAUACCCUCGGAAACUGAGGAUAAUACCCUAUAGGUUACCGAUGCUGGAAUGCUCGGUAACUCAAAGUUCCGGCGCCUUAGGAUGGAUCUGCGGCCGAUUAGGUAGUUGUUGGGGUAACGGCCCAACAAGCCCGUAAUGGUACGGGUUGUGGGAGCAAGAGCCCGGAGUUGGAUUCUGAGACACGAAUCCAGGCCCUACGGGGCGCAGCAGGCGCGAAAACUUUACAAUGCGGGCAACCGUGAUAAGGGAACCUCGAGUGCCUGUACAUGCAGGCUGUCUGGGUGUMUAAAAMACACCCAAAGAAAGGGCCGGGCAAGACCGGUGCCAGCCGCCGCGGUAAUACCGGCGGCUCGAGUGGUGGCCACUUUUAUUGGGCUUAAAGCGUUCGUAGCUGGGUUGUUAAGUCUCUUGGGAAAUCCGGCGGCUUAACCGUCGGGCGUCUAAGAGAUACUGGCAAUCUUGGAACCGGGAGAGGUGAGGGGUACUUCGGGGGUAGGAGUGAAAUCCUGUAAUCCUCGAGGGACCACCUGUGGCGAAGGCGCCUCACCAGAACGGCUUCGACAGUGAGGGACGAAAGCUGGGGGAGCAAMCCSSYWUUUAUACCCGGGUAGUCCCAGCCGUAAACGAUGUGCGACCCUUUCACGACCACGAGUCGUCGAGGUGCCGAAGGGAAACCGUGAAACGUACCGCCUGGGAA
rnacentral:rRNA from 1 species